AGAAGAGGGGGCGGGAGCCGGGCAGCCGCGGAAGGAGGGUGAUUGAUCAGUGCGCCGUUCCCGGCGCUCUGUCCCGUUAUUAGAGGCGGCCAAAGCAGGGCCACGCAAUAACCUCCGAAUCGCCAACUAAUUGACGCUGCAGGCAACUACUUCAUUGUGCGCGCUGGUUUUAUGUCUUCAUAGCCGGUGAUUGACAAGGUGUAAUUAGUCAUCUCACUCGGUGAUAAACAUGGGCACCCUCCUCCCGCGGCAUCAGGCCGUGUGUACCAGCAGAGGAAGCGAUAGUUGACGCUGAUAUACCAUUAAAUCAAAAUGAAGACGUUCAGAAGCAGGGAUGUUGCUCUUGGAGAAUGUGAAGACAGUUUGCUUCUUGACAAGCGAGCGAACGGGCGCCCAGAUUUUUGCAGCCUCUCGAGUCUCUCCCGAGGGAAAGGCAGGCAGAGAAAACGCCUGAUUUGGGAGCCACCAGGGAAGGAUUCCGCGCAGGGGGAGCCGCCCUCUUUGGCCCCAGACCGGCCUGCCGGGGACCCCCUUUGGGCACAGCCAACGGAUGAUCUGAAACACUGAGGAUGGUGCUGGGGAUUGGGGUGGGGAAAGCCUUUUGGAUAAUAACUGCAAAGAAGAAAGAGGUGAAGACAACUGUUUCUUCUCUGCCUUGCAGCAGGAGGAACUGUGUUCUUAGAGCUGUUGGCUGCAGUCACAGGGCCAGUUGCCUGCCUCGGUUCCCUGAGUAAAGUGUAAUGUCUCCUGUUCUCAGGGUUGCACCCUUCAGCAAAUUAUAUACCUUGCUCAGCUGUGAAGUAGGUCUUGCUUAGGGAAAUGUGUGUGUGUGUGUGUUUAUGGGGGUGUGUCUCUCUACAGUGAGGCUGCUACUAGAGGUGCUAGUUAUUCAUUUCAAAAACCUGGUGGUUAAAAACUUUAAAAAGGGGAGGGAGCAUUGCUGGUUGGGCUCCCUGGGAUUGCUGGGGUCUGUCUUGACUCUAAUUCUGGUUAGAGAAUGGCGAGGACUGAACAAAACUACCAACUGAAAGCCCACUUCCAGUGUAUUACACAGGCCCCCAGGAACCCCCCAGUGGGGGAAGCUCCCUGCACUUUCCCCUUCUCUCUAACCUCUGUCUUGAGUUUGUUUAGCAGAGGAAUGGUGAUUCCUUGCCACCAUGCAGGAACGUGGGGUUGUGGACAUCUCCAAGAAGAGAUAGGGUGAAGCCGAGUCACAAGGAUGACAGAAAAGUCUCAUAUUUUCAAAAAUGACCCCCUUCUACCCAGGCCUGGGCAGGGGAGGCAAAGAGGGGAGUGUUUUAUACUGAUGUGAGAGGCUGUCAGUCAGCAGCAAAUCAGCUCAGGCAUGGCCACAUUAUGAAAUCAACUCUUUUUGCCUUGGUCAAACCUUACCGAAAAUCUGCUGGUUACUCAUACUGACAAUAUAAAUUAGCUGGCCCUUAGUUUUUUUUGAGGAAGAAUACCACAUCUGUUGAUAGAUAAAUGGCUUGGCCCGACUCAGGCAGAGAAGAGCCCAGUUCCUCCUCCUCUUAUCCCUGCAGCGAUCUGAACAGUUCCGAAACCACCUCCCAGGGCGUCAGCUGAGCAGGUUGGGGAACUAACCAGGGCCCUCUCUCUAGGGCCCUGUUAAAUGCACUGAACUUAAAAUGAAACACGAAGUGUGAAUUUCAGGUUUGAACAUGAUGCAUCAGGAAACGUGGAGGUUGGCAGCCCUUUUCUCCCUCCUGCCUUUCGGUAGCAGGUAUUAAUAUUGUAUUAAAUGUUAUGAGAAAGUAAAGGCUGCGGAGAGGAAUGUGCUCAGAUGCAAUUUUGUCAAGGUUUUUAUCUGUGAUUAUGAUUCCAGAUGUAGAAACUCCCGGAGGAGGGAAAUGAGGGGCUGCUGGCGUGUGACAUGUGUUUUAAGGUGUUUGGCAGUGUUUCUCAAAGUGGUGACAAAAUGUUCAAUUUUAUUACAGGGAAUCGGCAAAAGAAAUAUGAAUAUACUAGGCUGGAGAGUGUUCAUCUCAGCAGAGGAUUUACCAUUAUUGAUUAGGGUGGGGAAAGUUUGUAUCUGGGUCCGCUUAAAUCACAUUGUCAACAAUGUAAAUCUGUCAGAUCACAUUAUUCCGAAAGCACUAUUGUAACAAAUACACAAAGCUAAUUGCAUCUCUCUACCUUCUAAUUUCCAUGCAAGAUGUAAACUGCCCUGGAAGCACACACAAAAAGUAAAUAUUGCAACGUGUCAUUUUUUAAAACUGGUGUACCUACCACCA